CCUACGGGAGGCAGCAGUGGGGAAUAUUGCACAAUGGGGGGAACCCUGAUGCAGCGACGCCGCGUGAGUGAAGAAGUAUUUCGGUAUGUAAAGCUCUAUCAGCAGGGAAGAAAAUGACGGUACCUGACUAAGAAGCCCCGGCUAACUACGUGCCAGCAGCCGCGGUAAUACGUAGGGGGCAAGCGUUAUCCGGAUUUAAUGGGUGUAAAGGGAGCGCAGGCGGCACGGCAAGCCUGAUGUGAAAGCCCGGGGCCCAACCGCGGGACUGCAGUGGGAACUGCCGGGCUGGAGUGCCGGAGAGGUAGGCGGAAUUCCUAGUGUAGCGGUGAAAUGCGUAGAUAUUAGGAGGAACACCAGUGGCGAAGGCGGCCUACUGGACGGUGACUGACGCUGAGGCUCGAAAGCGUGGGGAGCAAACAGGAUUAGAUACCCGAGUAGUC
rnacentral:rRNA from 1 species